rnacentral:rRNA from 1 species
AGGACGAACGCUGGCGGCGUGCUUAACACGUGCAAGUCGAGCGGAAAGGCCCUUCGGGGUACUCGAGCGGCGAACGGGUGAGUAACACGUGAGCAAUCUGCCCUUAGCUUCGGGAUAGCUCCGGGAAACCGGAAUUAAUACCGGAUAUGACUAUGGCUGACAUCAGCCACGGUGGAAAGUUUUUCGGCUAGGGAUGAGCUCGCGGCCUAUCAGCUAGUUGGUGGGGUAACGGCCUACCAAGGCGACGACGGGGUA